rnacentral:lncRNA from 1 species
CUGAUUUUUCUAUCUCUUCAGUGCCUCUUUCAACAAUAUGAAGUUCAAACCAGGUACUGAGGUAGUGGGAGUGCUUAUCUAGUUUUUGGCUUUUAGUUUUGUGCAAAUAUCUGCUGAGUGAACUACUUAUUUGAAAAGACAUCAUUGGUUAAUAUUCCCUUUUGCUCAUUGAAAUCUCAAAGACUACAGACCCCGCACAAGACAUUCUGACAUUCCCGUCUUUGAAAUGAAUGACAGCAAUGAUAAAUAUGGCUCACCUCCAGAGAUACAGAUCUCACAACUUCAUAUUUUUAAUAUAAAUUAUUAAUCUGAGGUGUGGUGCAAUUCCAUUAGAUGAAAGAGAUCUACACAUUCAGAAGCACAUGAUUCUUCCCCCUUCCAUGAUUCCAGUGGCCAAUAGACAAACUACAAUAAAGCCAUGCCCUGACUGGAUGUGCCUAACAUUUGUCUGGUGCUUAAAGGAGUUGGCUGCAUGCAUGGGAUGGAGAAGGAUUCAACAUUUAAUGGCAGUUAGAAUCAAAUUUUUAACGCAAGAAGGCAGAAGGAAUCCACCGAAAUAAAUGUUGGAAAGUCACCAAAAAUAGUUCUCCAAGUCAGAAGCGGUGCAAAAGCUGCCUCAGCUCUUGGUGGAUUUUCAAUUUCUCCCAGCCAUCUCUGUUUCUCUAAAGGUUUCUGAAGACAGUGGGUAUGUGGCAAAAUUCUGCAAUUCUAUAUUAAGAUAAACUGUUAGAUCAAUUA